CCGCCCCCGCCAGAGGACCCCUAACUCUGUUUUUAUAAUGUUUUUCUGAGCAAACAAGCAAAUAAAUUAAAACUUUCAACAACGGAUCUCUUGGCUCUGGCAUCGAUGAAGAACGCAGCGAAAUGCGAUAAGUAAUGUGAAUUGCAGAAUUCAGUGAAUCAUCGAAUCUUUGAACGCACAUUGCGCCCGCCAGUAUUCUGGCGGGCAUGCCUGUUCGAGCGUCAUUACAACCCUCAGGCCCCCGGGCCUGGCGUUGGGGAUCGGCAGAAGCCCCCUGUGGGCACACGCCGUCCCUCAAAUACAGUGGCGGUCCCGCCGCAGCUUCCAUUGCGUAGUAGCUAACACCUCGCAACUGGAGAGCGGCGCGGCCAUGCCGUAAAACACCCAACUUCUGAAUGUUGACCUCGAAUCAGGUAGGAAUACCCGCUGAACUUAAGCAUAUCAAAGGGCGGAAGGAAA
rnacentral:rRNA from 1 species